CGACCCCAGGUCGGGCGGGGCCACCCGCUGAGUUU
rnacentral:misc_RNA from 1 species